rnacentral:rRNA from 1 species
GCCAACCAGCUAGCCUUACCCUAAAAACAACAACACAACAUUAAUUAAACCCCAAUAACAGGAACCCCCUAAAACAAACCAUUUUACCCCCCAAGUACGGGCGACCGAAAAGGAACCUCCAGAGCAAUAGAAAUAGUACCGCAAGGGAACGCUGAAAAAGAAAUGAAACAAACCAGUUUAAGCCCUAAAAAGCAGGGAUAUCCCC